AUGUUUUCAACUAAAGAAGUUUCCCAACAAAACCAAAAGUUACUUAUUGGACAAAUUCAGUUAAGUGGCUUCCUGUUUCGGCCCAUUUACUUCCAAAUGAAUACCACCCCAGCUAGAGGGAAACCCCAGUCUAGAGGACACCCCAUACUAGAGGACACCCCAGUGUAGAGGACAACCACACAGUCUAGGAAAGGACAAGUCAGGGACACACUCAGUCUAGAGGACACACCACCACGGUCUAGAGGACACCCCAUACAUCUAAGAGGACACCAUCACAGUCUAGAGGACACCAUCCCCGUCUAGAGGAGGACACCCCCGUUCUAGAGGACACCCCAGUCUAGAGGACACCCCAGUCUAGAGGGACAAACCAUACAGUCUAGAGGACACCCCACGGUCUAGAGGACAACUCAUUCCGUCUAGAGGACACCCAGUCCUAGAGGAACACACAGUCUAGAGGGACACCAUCAGUCUAAGACAAUACAGUCCACCUCACCCGUCUAGAGGACACCCAGUCCUAGAGGACACCCCACAGUUAGAGGACACCCAGUUAGAGAGGACACCCAUACCAUCUAGAGGACACCCUCUAGAGGACAAACCAUACAGUCUAGAGGACACCCCAGUCUUAGAGGACAACCAUACGUCUAGAGGAACCCCAUCUCGAGGACAACCAUACGUUAAGACCCACAGCUAGAGG
rnacentral:lncRNA from 1 species